rnacentral:rRNA from 1 species
GGCUCAGAUUGAACGCUGGCGGCAGGCUUAACACAUGCAAGUCGAACGGUAACAGGGAAUAGCUUGCUAUUUUGCUGACGAGUGGCGGACGGGUGAGUAAUGCUUGGGAAUAUGCCAAAACGUGGGGGACAACAGUUGGAAACGACUGCUAAUACCGCAUAAUGUCUUCGGACCAAAGCAGGGGACCUUCGGGCCUUGCGCGUUUUGAUUAGCCCAAGUGGGAUUAGCUAGUUGGUAAGGUAAUGGCUUACCAAGGCGACGAUCCCUAGCUGGUCUUAGAGGAUGACCAGCCACACUGGAACUGAGACACGGUCCAGACUCCUACGGGAGGCAGCAGUGGGGAAUAUUGCACAAUGGGGGAAACCCUGAUGCAGCCAUGCCGCGUGUGUGAAGAAGGCUUUCGGGUUGUAAAGCACUUUCAGUAGGGAGGAAAGGGUGCUGGUUAAUAACCAGUAUCUGUGACGUUACCUACAGAAGAAGCACCGGCUAACUCCGUGCCAGCAGCCGCGGUAAUACGGAGGGUGCGAGCGUUAAUCGGAAUUACUGGGCGUAAAGCGCGCGUAGGUGGUUAAUUAAGUCAGAUGUGAAAGCCCAGGGCUCAACCUUGGAACUGCAUUUGAAACUGGUUAACUAGAGUUUUGUAGAGGGUGGUAGAAUUUCAGGUGUAGCGGUGAAAUGCGUAGAGAUCUGAAGGAAUACCAGUGGCGAAGGCGGCCACCUGGACAGUAACUGACACUGAGGCGCGAAGGCGUGG